rnacentral:rRNA from 1 species
UACAGAGGUCUUAAGCGUUGUUCGGAUUCAUUGGGCGUAAAGGGUGCGUAGGUGGCGCCGUAAGUCGGGUGUGAAAUUUCGGAGCUUAACUCCGAAACUGCAUUCGAUACUGCGGUGCUUGAGGACUGGAGAGGAGACUGGAAUUCAUGGUGUAGCAGUGAAAUGCGUAGAGAUCAUGAGGAAGACCAGUGGCGAAGGCGGGUCUCUGGACAGUUCCUGACGCUGAGGCACGAAGGCCAGGGGAGCAAACGGG